CCUUUGCCGAGCUCAACCCCACAGUUUGGGAACCACUGAUGCAAUGAACAGUUUCUAAAACUGCAUGUCAAACUCUCUGGUCGUCUGUCCAAGAGUUGAGGGUAAACGGUAGACAUGUUCUCUGUUUUCAUUCAUGUUUUCAUUCAUGUUUUUGUGGGGGAGGGGCUUUUUUUCUUCUAGUGUUCAGGGAGGGGUUAUAGGUCAGAUAUAUUUAGCUGAAGGGAGGCCCCUCUCAUAUCGGAGAGGUCUGAUUUUUCUCCAUUAACACUCAUUCUACAUAAUGUUCACUUCCUGAAGAUCUAAUCAGCUAUUCCUCUCAUAAACAACAUACUGUAAGUACGUCCCUAAUGACACCCCUAUUCCCUAUGUAGAGCACUACUUUAGACCAGGGCCCUAUUCCCUAUAUAGUGCCCUACUUUAGACCAGGGCCCUAUUCCCUACAUAGUGCACUACUUUAGACCAGGACCCAAUGACACCCUAUUCCCUAUAUAGUGCACUACUUUAGACAAAGACCCUUUUCCCUAUAUAGUGCACUACUUUAGAUCAGAGCCCUAUAUAUAGUGCACUAUUUUAUACCAGGGCCCUAUUCCCUAUAUAGUGCACUACUUUAUACCAGGGGGAAUAUAGGGGGAAUAUAUAGUGCACUACUUUAGACCAGGGCCCCUAUUCCCUACAUAGUGCACUACUUUAGACCAGGGUCCACCCUAUUCCCUAUAUAGAGCACUACUUUAGACCAGGGCCCCUAUUCCCUACAUAGUGCACUACUUUAGACCAGAUCCACCCUAUUCCCUAUAUAGUGCACUACUUUUGGGCUGGUAAAAAGCAAGGUACUUCAUAGGGGAUAGGGGUGUCAUUUAGGAUGUUUAUCGUCUCUACGUCGGGACAGAGAGGUUUGCCAGUGGAUCUGUAGAUGCUGCCAAAGACAAGAGGAUUUAAAUCAUAGCUCCACCCCCUUACCCAGCAGCCAUCUGACUGUGUUUUUUAAGCGAUAAGAUGUUCCGAUAGAUUGCCGUGAUUUUAAACAGGCAGAUGUUGAUAAGUGUCCACAUCUGAACGUUUUAAAUAAGAUUUUAAAUCCAAAUUUGACAACCAUUGUUCUUGUUUGAUGUUGUGAUACCCGUUUCUGAAACGAGGACUCGCUUCCAUAAUCAUCUUUUUAAAUGUCUUCAUCAAUGUGUGUCUCUCAGAGAAGAUGGCAACUAUUCCACUCUCUGAAAUCAGCACGUGGCUUCGCAAAUCUUCUUAAUUGUGGUGUUUUGAUUAAUAACAAGUAAUGCUGUUUGGUUAAAUAUAAAAUUGUAGUUAGUUGCAUCAUUUGGAAGUCUGUAAUAUUGUUGCUGUUUUCUCAAGUCUGUUGGAGAUCAAUAUAAUACAGUCUGUUGGAGGUCAAUAUAAUACAGUCUGGAGGUCAAUAUAAUACAGUCUGUUGGAGGUCAAUAUAAUACAGUCUGGA
ensembl:lncRNA